CUGCUGCUGGGGUUGUUGAUUCUGUUGGUUCUGUUGUAAUUGCUGAACCGCAGCAGUGAGUCCUUGCAGAAUCUGCAUUUGGGCGGCGAUGAACUGCUCCAUAUUGGGAUUAGGUGGUGGUGGUGGUGCUUGUUGACCACGCUGGUUCCGAUUGUUGUUGGGUCCUUGACGUGGGUUCACCAUCUGAGUGGUUAGGAGGUGAAGUCCUUAGAGAAGUGGGGAGUAGAAAAGAUUCUAGAGGGAAAUUUCUUAAGUUUAUGUUUUUUUAAUGCUCUUAUGGCCAUCAGACCAUUGCACUCAAACAAAAAUCCAACACAAACAUAUCAAACAUCACCAUCACAUUGUUGUUAUUAUUAUAGUAUAACACUAUUUUAUCGUCUAUCGCGUCUAGCUUAUUUCAAUAAACUAUCCUAUCAACCUAAAGGAGUAUGGUGAUAGACUCAGGGGUUUCAUAACAUAGCCUUCCAAAAAGAAUGAGGAUAAGGCAGAGAAAGACGCUUCUUCUUCAUCAUCCAAAGGUGGGGUAGAGGGUGCUGGCCGAUCUUGAGCAACAUAGUCGAUGCUUUUGUAAGCAGUUCUUCUGAUAGCAACCUUCUAAUAGACGAGAGAAAAUCAGACUAGAAGAGUUGAAUAUAAAGGAGUUGAGUUUUGAGAUAAAAUAAGU
rnacentral:lncRNA from 1 species